rnacentral:rRNA from 1 species
ACAGGAUGGACCCGCGUCUGAUUAGCUAGUUGGUGAGGUAACGGCUCACCAAGGCGACGAUCAGUAGCCGACCUGAGAGGGUGAUCGGCCACAUUGGAACUGAGACACGGUCCAAACUCCUACGGGAGGCAGCAGUGGGGAAUAUUGCACAAUGGGCGAAAGCCUGAUGCAGCAACGCCGCGUGAGCGAUGAAGGCCUUCGGGUCGUAAAGCUCUGUCCUCAAGGAAGAUAAUGACGGUACUUGAGGAGGAAGCCCCGGCUAACUACGUGCCAGCAGCCGCGGUAAUACGUAGGGGGCUAGCGUUAUCCGGAUUUACUGGGCGUAAAGGGUGCGUAGGCGGUCUUUUAAGUCAGGAGUGAAAGGCUACGGCUCAACCGUAGUAAGCUCUUGAAACUGGAGGACUUGAGUGCAGGAGAGGAGAGUGGAAUUCCUAGUGUAGCGGUGAAAUGCGUAGAUAUUAGGAGGACACCAGUAGCGAAGGCGGCUCUCUGGA